AUCUCAACCCAGUUACAUCUAGAUCAUCAGUUCUCAAGAUGAAGUUGGCAAUCAUUUGUGUUGUUGCGAUUAUCGCCACUACUGUUUCUUCCGCUAACGUCCCAUGCAAUAAACCUUGUUUGGGCCAGUACGAAGUGUUCCAGGACUGUGCAUCGGUGUGCCCCGCCACGUGUGAUGCUCCUUAUGGAAAUAAUUGCAAUGCAUGCUCUCCUGGAUGUGCUUGCAUGGAUGGCUACGUGCGCAAUGCCAGCUAUGUUUGCGUAAAGCUGUGCGAUUGUCCUGGAGCGACCACCCCUAUUCCCAUGUGAAUUUAAAUAAAGGGACCGUUUAUAAAUGACGUAGCAUUUUACCUCCCCCCUAAAAUGCUUUGACGAACCAUGUAUUAGGUAUGGCAACAUAGGCUACUAUAAAGAAGAAAGGUGCCAAAAAUUGGUCUAAAAUGCUACGUAAUUUAUGGAUGCAGCCAAAUAUGAUUUUAUAAAUUCCUAUAUGAAGUCAGCAAUAAAUAUUUCAAGGUUAAAAAAUAUCCAAAUUAUGUAAACUUUA